rnacentral:rRNA from 1 species
UACGAAGGGUGCAAGCGUUACUCGGAAUUACUGGGCGUAAAGCGUGCGUAGGUGGUUUGUUAAGUCUGAUGUGAAAGCCCUGGGCUCAACCUGGGAACUGCAUUGGAAACUGGCUUACUAGAGUGCGGUAGAGGGGUGUGGAAUUCCCGGUGUAGCAGUGAAAUGCGUAGAUAUCGGGAGAAACAUCUGUGGCGAAGGCGACACCCUGGACCAGCACUGACACUGAGGCACGAAAGCGUGGGGAGCAAACAGG